UACAGAGGUCUCAAGCGUUGUUCGGAUUCAUUGGGCGUAAAGGGUGUGUAGGUGGCGCCGUAAGUCGGGUGUGAAAUUUCGGAGCUUAACUCCGAAACUGCAUUUGAUACUGGCGUGCUUGAGGACUGGAGAGGAGACUGGAAUUCACGGUGUAGCAGUGAAAUGCGUAGAUAUCGUGAGGAAGACCAGUGGCGAAGGCGGGUCUCUGGACAGUUCCUGACACUGAGGCAGCGAAGGCCAGGGGAGCAAACGGG
rnacentral:rRNA from 1 species